CGACUGGCUUCUAGGCGGCCGGAGUCUACCCCGCCAACCGGACAGGAAAGGCGUGAAGCGCUUCCAGUCCAGCUGGACGGGGACGAGGCAGGCCGAACCAGAGACACCCCACCGACCCCCACGUUAGCCACAUUCG
rnacentral:pre_miRNA from 1 species